rnacentral:rRNA from 1 species
GACGGAGGAUGCAAGCGUUAUCCGGAAUGAUUGGGCGUAAAGCGUCCGCAGGUGGCAGUUCAAGUCUGCUGUCAAAGACCGGGGCUUAACUUCGGAAAGGCAGUGGAAACUGAACAGCUAGAGUAUGGUAGGGGCAGAAGGAAUUCCUGGUGUAGCGGUGAAAUGCGUAGAGAUCGUGAGGAAGACCAGUGGCGAAGGCGGGUCUCUGGACAGUUCCUGACACUGAGACACGAAGGCCAGGGGAGCAAACGGG